rnacentral:rRNA from 1 species
GAGGUAAAAAGCUUUACCCAAGGCAGCNAUCGGUAGCUGGUUCUGGAGANGGAUGAGCAGCCCNCACCUGGGGANUGAGACACGGCCCCCAGACUCCUACGGGAGGCAGCAGUGGGGAAUUUUCCGGCAAUGGGCGCAAGCCUGACGGGAGCAACGCCGCGUGUGGGAAGAAGGCUCUUGGCUGUCANCCACUUUUCUCAGGGAAGAAGAUCUGACGGUACCUGAGGAAUCAGCCUCGGCUAACUCCGUGCCAGCAGCCGCGGUAAUACGGAGGAGGCAAGCGUUAUCCGGAAUUAUUGGGCGUAAAGCGUCCGCAGGGGGCACAUCAAGUCUGCUGUUAAAGNCNGGAGCUUAACUCCGGUAGAGCAGUGGAANCUGGUGUGCUAGAGGGCGACAGGGGUAGAGGGAAUUCCCAGUGUAGCGGUGAAAUGCGUAGAGAUUGGGAAGAACACCGGUGGAGAAAGCGCUCUACUGGGUCGCACCUGACCCUCAGGGACGAAAGCUAAGGUAGCGAAAGGGAUUAGAUACCCCUGGANACUU